CGACACGGGGAGGUAGUGACAAUAAAUACUGAUACAGGGCUCUUUUGGGUCUUGUAAUUGGAAUGAGUACAAUUUAAAUCCCUUAACGAGGAACAAUUGGAGGGCAAGUCUGGUGCCAGCAGCCGCGGUAAUUCCAGCUCCAAUAGCGUGUAUUAAAGUUGUUGCAGUUAAAAAGCUCGUAGUUGAACCUUGGGCCUGGCUGGCCGGUCCGCCUCACCGCGUGUACUGGUCCGGCCGGGCCCUUCCUUCUGGGGAACCUCAUGCCCUUCACUGGGCGUGUUGGGGAACCAGGACUUUUACUUUGAAAAAAUUAGAGUGUUCAAAGCAGGCCUUUGCUCGAAUACAUUAGCAUGGAAUAAUAGAAUAGGACGUGUGGUUCUAUUUUGUUGGUUUCUAGGACCGCCGUAAUGAUUAAUAGGGAUAGUCGGGGGCAUCAGUAUUCAAUCGUCAGAGGUGAAAUUCUUGGAUUGAUUGAAGACUAACUACUGCGAAAGCAUUUGCCAAGGAUGUUUUCAUUAAUCAGUGAACGAAAGUUAGGGGAUCGAAGACGAUCAGAUACCGUCGUAGUCUUAACCAUAAACUAUGCCGACUAGGGAUCGGACGGUGUUAGUAUUUUGACCCGUUCGGCACCUUACGAGAAAUCAAAGUUUUUGGGUUCUGGGGGGAGUAUGGUCGCAAGGCUGAAACUUAAAGAAAUUGACGGAAGGGCACCACCAGGCGUGGAGCCUG
rnacentral:rRNA from 1 species